UACGGAGGGGGCUAGCGUUGUUCGGAAUUACUGGGCGUAAAGCGCGCGUAGGCGGCUUUGUAAGUUAGAGGUGAAAGCCCGGAGCUCAACUCCGGAACUGCCUUUAAGACUGCAUCGCUAGAACGAUGGAGAGGUGAGUGGAAUUCCGAGUGUAGAGGUGAAAUUCGUAGAUAUUCGGAAGAACACCAGUGGCGAAGGCGACCCACUGGACAUCUGUUGACGCUGAGGUGCGAAAGCGUGGGGAGCAAACAGG
rnacentral:rRNA from 1 species